rnacentral:lncRNA from 1 species
CGUCUCCCCACACAGCUGAAAUUAAUGCAGAGGUGAACGCCUUCUCCCUCGGAAGCAGAGCAAGAAUGAUUCUUGAUUACACUGAGCCUAUGGAACAGCCCCCACUGUUCAAGAGCCAAGAUUAGUGUGAAGCACCUCUCAAUCAUUUAAGAUUUGAUUGUUUAACAUGAGGCUGGGUGGGUUCGUCUCAGUGCUGAUGUCAACAAUCGACCCCAUCGUCCACAUGGCUCCCUGGGUUGCACCAUGAGCCAGCCACUGCUGCUUCUGGGUGCCAGGCUGUCCGGCAAAUCCUCUGACCCCCGUCUCUCCCUUCUAGAUUUUUCUGAGCUGCCACUUCCUCUCACCCUCCAGGCAGGCAGAGCCUGAAACCCCCUCUCUCAGAAAGGGUUGCAUCAAACUCAUUUGAUGCACACAAAUUCACCGAGGGAGAAUCCUUUGACAAGCAGGCUCUGGGGCCCUGGGGCUGGGGCUUGAGAGCCUGGGUCUCUAACACACCCAGCAGUUGCUGAUGGCGGGGCCAGAGCUGGAGUGGCCAAGGUUUUAGAGCAGUACUUAUGGUGGGUCUCUCUCUAGCUGGGCCAUCCUUGAGGCCAUCCUCUUCAUUUCAGAUCAGUUUGCCCCCUCCCCAUUUCUCAAAGCUGCUUACUGUUUGCUGGAAGGGAAGGCUGGACUCCUCCACCCCACCUUCCACCCCCACCUUCCUUUCCCCUCCGCCCCACACCCGUUUCUCUGCUCCCUAGUCUGUUUCCUGUACAACUUUAGGACAUGGCCUUCAUUCAUGUUACCUUUCUGUUGUUGUUUUUUUAUGAGCUUUAGUUAAGAUAACUAAUUGCUGCAGACAAAACCAGCUCAAAACAAUUUAAUCCACACUUUGAGAGAGGGAGAAAGAAAUGCACUCUGCAGAGGAAUCUGAAGAAUGUAGAGAACCAUCCAAUCAACGACUAUUCCAAGCAUUUCCCUGAGAAUGCAAACUUCCACCCACCUCAAGCCCUCCAGGAACUUGCCAUUUUCACCACAUCACUAUGCAGCGUCACACCAGGAAGUACCCAGAAAACUUCGCACGAUCCUCCGGAAGCCUCACCCCUUAUCGGUGACCACCCUUCUGCUAUAUCCAGUCUUUUUCUCAGCA